AGAGUUUGAUCCUGGCUCAGGAUGAACGCUGGCGGCGUGCCUAAUACAUGCAAGUCGAGCGAACGGACGAGAAGCUUGCUUCUCUGAUGUUAGCGGCGGACGGGUGAGUAACACGUGGAUAACCUACCUAUAAGACUGGGAUAACUUCGGGAAACCGGAGCUAAUACCGGAUAAUAUUUUGAACCGCAUGGUUCAAAAGUGAAAGACGGUCUUGCUGUCACUUAUAGAUGGAUCCGCGCUGCAUUAGCUAGUUGGUAAGGUAACGGCUUACCAAGGCAACGAUGCAUAGCCGACCUGAGAGGGUGAUCGGCCACACUGGAACUGAGACACGGUCCAGACUCCUACGGGAGGCAGCAGUAGGGAAUCUUCCGCAAUGGGCGAAAGCCUGACGGAGCAACGCCGCGUGAGUGAUGAAGGUCUUCGGAUCGUAAAACUCUGUUAUUAGGGAAGAACAUAUGUGUAAGUAACUGUGCACAUCUUGACGGUACCUAAUCAGAAAGCCACGGCUAACUACGUGCCAGCAGCCGCGGUAAUACGUAGGUGGCAAGCGUUAUCCGGAAUUAUUGGGCGUAAAGCGCGCGUAGGCGGUUUUUUAAGUCUGAUGUGAAAGCCCACGGCUCAACCGUGGAGGGUCAUUGGAAACUGGAAAACUUGAGUGCAGAAGAGGAAAGUGGAAUUCCAUGUGUAGCGGUGAAAUGCGCAGAGAUAUGGAGGAACACCAGUGGCGAAGGCGACUUUCUGGUCUGUAACUGACGCUGAUGUGCGAAAGCGUGGGGAUCAAACAGGAUUAGAUACCCUGGUAGUCCACGCCGUAAACGAUGAGUGCUAAGUGUUAGGGGGUUUCCGCCCCUUAGUGCUGCAGCUAACGCAUUAAGCACUCCGCCUGGGGAGUACGACCGCAAGGUUGAAACUCAAAGGAAUUGACGGGGACCCGCACAAGCGGUGGAGCAUGUGGUUUAAUUCGAAGCAACGCGAAGAACCUUACCAAAUCUUGACAUCCUUUGACAACUCUAGAGAUAGAGCCUUCCCCUUCGGGGGACAAAGUGACAGGUGGUGCAUGGUUGUCGUCAGCUCGUGUCGUGAGAUGUUGGGUUAAGUCCCGCAACGAGCGCAACCCUUAAGCUUAGUUGCCAUCAUUAAGUUGGGCACUCUAAGUUGACUGCCGGU
rnacentral:rRNA from 1 species